CCUACGGGUGGCAGCAGUGAGGAAUAUUGGUCAAUGGGCGGAAGCCUGAACCAGCCAAGUAGCGUGCAGGAUGACGGCCCUACGGGUUGUAAACUGCUUUUAUCCGGGAAUAACGCGCCUUACGUGUAGGGCUUUGCAUGUACCGUAUGAAUAAGGACCGGCUAAUUCCGUGCCAGCAGCCGCGGUAAUACGGAAGGUACGGGCGUUAUCCGGAUUUAUUGGGUUUAAAGGGAGCGUAGGCCGCAUGUCAAGCGUGCUGUGAAAUGUCCGGGCUCAACCCGGGCCUUGCAGCGCGAACUGGCGUGCUUGAGUGGGAGGAAAGCAGGCGGAAGUCGUGGUGUAGCGGUGAAAUGCUUAGAUAUGGCGAAGAACCCCGAUUGCGAAGGCAGCGUGCUGGAGCGGAACUGACGCUGAGGCUCGAAAGCGCGGGUAUCGAACAGGAUUAGAUACCCGUGUAGUC
rnacentral:rRNA from 1 species